UACGAAGGGGGCUAGCGUUGCUCGGAAUCACUGGGCGUAAAGGGUGCGUAGGCGGCUGUUUCAAGUCGAACGUGAAAACUCGGAGCUCAACUCCGAGCCUGCGUUCGAUACUGGACGGCUAGAGUCUGGUAGGGGGGAUCUGGGAAUUCCUGGUGUAGCGGUGGAAUGCGCAGAUAUCAGGAGGAACACCCGGUGGCGAAGGCGGGAUCCUGGGCCAGUACUGACGCUGAGGAGCGAAAGCGUGGGGAGCAACAGG
rnacentral:rRNA from 1 species